rnacentral:rRNA from 1 species
GGCGGCGUGCCUAACAACAUGCAAGUCGAGCGAGGAGAUUCCUUCGGGAUGAUCCUAGCGGCGGACGGGUGAGUAACACGUGGGCAACCUGCCUCAUAGAGAGGAAUAGCCUUCCGAAAGGGAGAUUAAUACCUCAUAACAUUGCAGUUUCGCAUGGAACAGCAAUUAAAGGAGCAAUCCGCUAUGAGAUGGGCCCGCGGCGCAUUAGCUAGUUGGUGAGGUAACGGCUCACCAAGGCGACGAUGCGUAGCCGACCUGAGAGGGUGAUCGGCCACAUUGGGACUGAGACACGGCCCAGACUCCUACGGGAGGCAGCAGUGGGGAAUAUUGCACAAUGGGGGAAACCCUGAUGCAGCCAACGCCGCGUGAGUGAUGACGGCCUUCGGGUUGUAAAGCUCUGUCUUCAGGGACGAUAAUGACGGUACCUGAGGAGGAAGCCACGGCUAACUACGUGCCAGCAGCAGC